rnacentral:rRNA from 1 species
CCUACGGGUGGCAGCAGUGAGGAAUAUUGGUCAAUGGGCGGGAGCCUGAACCAGCCAAGUCGCGUGAGGGAAGACGGUCCUACGGAUUGUAAACCUCUUUUGCCGGGGAGCAACGGGGUCCUUGCGAGGGCCCGAUGAGAGUACCCGGAGAAAAAGCAUCGGCUAACUCCGUGCCAGCAGCCGCGGUAAUACGGAGGAUGCGAGCGUUAUCCGGAUUUAUUGGGUUUAAAGGGUGCGUAGGCGGGCUGUUAAGUCAGCGGUAAAAUGUCGGGGCUCAACCCCGGCCUGCCGUUGAACCUGGCAAACUGGAGGGUGUGAGAGGAUAGUGGAAUUCCAGGUGUAGGAGUGAAAUCCGUAGAUAUCUGGAGGAACAUCAGUGGCGAAGGCGACUAUCUGGCACAUAACUGACGCUGAGGAGCGAAAGCGUGGGUAGCAAACAGGAUUAGAUACCCUUGUAGUC